AUAGCCAGAAACACAGUCACAGAUAGAUCGAAUGCAAAUGCGAAAUGGCGGGAAACGAGGAGCCCAAGUUAAUUUCAGCUUCACCACCAUUACUGUCUCCUUCUUCGAGAGCGAAGAUGGUGGAACAGAAAAAUCAGCAACCAGAAGAGACGUGCUGGAGGAAGCAAGUGGACCAGAACCUGAAGCGGCUCCACUCGCUCCUCUUCGGCGCCGAUCUCGCCCUCGAGCGGCGUGAUCCCUCUGCGGCUUUGAUCCUCGGGCUCCGCCUUCUCGGCUUCCUCGACUCUCAAUCUAGCUCCGAUGUCGAUGAGGCUUUCAUCAACCCCAUCCGCCGUGAAGCCGCUGCGAAGGUCGACGCGGCUCGCCGUUCCCUCAUUCCAGAAUCUGAUCGUCGAGCAUUUGAGCAAGCAAAGAGCACUCCAGGUUCUGUGUUUCGAACAAGAGAAGAGAUUGACAUUGAGAAGAUCAAGAAGUCCAAGUACUUUCGAGCUCUUCUUCGGCAUUCUAAUGGAAAACCAGUGAAUGAAUUGGGAGAUGGUGUGGAGAGGCACAACAAGUUGAGUAGCACGGCUUCAAAAUUCAUGACAGAAGCAAAUUCGAAAUCCAACAUGAUGAGCACUAGUAAUGGCUUAUACAAGAAUUUGUUAAGCUCCAAAAGCAACAACCCUGAUGACUGCAUUAUUGUGGAAAAGCCUCAUUCACAUAACAUCCACACAAAAGGUCAUGGCUUCUCACCUUCUCCAAAAGUUGAAGAGGAAGAAAGAGUUUAUGGAAGUAACGUAAGGGCAAAACGUGCACAUAGGGAAAUUAUUUCGCCUGUGGUAGAUAAUUCAAAGUCACCAUCUGGCAAUGAAGAAGCUAGCCCCGAUGCUUCUGGAAACGGGUUUGUUACAGCUCGAGCAAUAUUGAAAAUGGAUGCAAGGCAAAGACAGGGGUUAGCAGGAUCGCCAAGUGCUUCUGUCUCCCCCCAAAGUGAUAGCAAUUGUGCCAAUAGAGGUUAUGGUGGGAAAUCAUAUGGUUUUUCACGCCGUGGUGUCCGUGGUAGUUUUGUUCCCCCUAUCAAAUCCAGUGGGGGCAAUGUCGGGAAUGUGACUUCACGAAUUGCUGGAAAGUGUGAUGAUUCACUAGAUGACUCAACAAAGAGAUGUUUAGAGAUGCUUUAUGGCCCUGAUGGUGAGCUUCCAGAAAAAUUAAGGAAUUUGGAACCUCGUCUUAUUGAACAUGUCAGUAAUGAGAUUAUGGAGAGGGAUCCUAAUGUUCGUUGGGAUGAUAUUGCUGGUUUGGAGCAUGCUAAAAAAUGUGUGACUGAGAUGGUCAUAUGGCCUCUAUUACGUCCUGACAUAUUUAAAGGUUGUCGUUCUCCUGGAAGAGGUCUUCUUCUUUUUGGUCCACCUGGAACGGGAAAAACAAUGAUUGGGAAAGCCAUAGCUGGAGAGGCAAAAGCAACAUUUUUCUACAUAUCUGCCAGUUCAUUAACUAGCAAGUGGAUUGGUGAGGGUGAAAAGCUAGUGAGGGCCCUUUUUGGAGUAGCCAGUUGUCGUCAGCCAGCUGUGAUUUUUGUUGAUGAAAUUGAUUCACUUCUUUCUCAGGUAAGCGUAAGUCAGAAGGUGAACACGAAUCAAGUAGACGACUUAAGACCCAGUUCCUCAUUGAAAUGGAAGGCUUUGACAGUGGCAGUGAACAAAUUCUGCUCAUAGGAGCAACAAAUCGACCCCAAGAACUGGAUGAAGCAGCACGGAGGCGGCUCACCAAGAGACUUUAUAUCCCCCUUCCUUCAUCAGAAGCAAGAGCCUGGAUCAUACGCAAUCUCUUAGAGAAGGAUGGACUAUUCAAGCUUUCAAAAGAGGAAAUUGUUACGAUUUGUAAUUUGACUGAAGGGUAUUCAGGAUCAGACAUGAAAAACCUAGUGAAGGAUGCAUCUAUGGGUCCACUUAGAGAGGCUCUGAGACAAGGCAUAGAAAUUACAAAGCUAAAAAAGGAGGAUAUGCGGCCAGUAACGCUUCAGGACUUUGAGAACGCAUUGCAAGAGGUAAGGCCCUCAGUUUCUUUGAAUGAACUUGGUACUUAUGAUGAGUGGAACAAGCAAUUUGGAAGUUUAUCACUCUAGGAAUGAGUUUUGUUAAUGCAAAGCGACAAGGAAAAUCACCCCUUGUUUACUUGAUCAUAAUAAUGGUAGUACUUUUUACUUCAUCGCAGCACCAAGUGGGUCAUCGGUUUAGUUUCUCGUUAAUAUAGUUCAUCAGAAGAAAGAAAGAAAAAAAUAGAGGUGUUUGUCGACUUCUAGGUCCUAUUAUUCGUAUUUUGUGAACUGCCCCUAUUUCCCGAUUUCAAACUCUCGUUUUCAGCCUUUCUAGAGUGCAAGUAUAACUCCCCCAGUC